rnacentral:rRNA from 1 species
AUCUCCUACGGGAGGCAGCAGUGGGGAAUAUUGCACAAUGGGGGAAACCCUGAUGCAGCGACGCCGCGUGAGUGAAGAAGUAUUUCGGUAUGUAAAGCUCUAUCAGCAGGGAAGAAAUACUGACCUUACGGUCAGCAGACGGUACCUGACUAAGAAGCCCCGGCUAACUACGUGCCAGCAGCCGCGGUAAUACGUAGGAUGCGAGCGUUAUCCGGAUUUAUUGGGUUUAAAGGGUGCGUAGGCGGACUGUUAAGUCAGCGGUAAAAGCCCGGGGCUCAACCCCGGCGAGCCGUUGAAACUGGCUG